rnacentral:lncRNA from 1 species
AAUGAUCGACACUUUAAACUUCGUCAGGCCCUUCGUGGUAGGCGAAUGUUAUCUUGUAGUUCUGUUAGGCCUUUCGGGGUAAACAAACUCCCAAUAAAGCAGAUGUCUCGCACUUCGGUAACUUGAUAAGUAUCUCUUUACUUUAUUACCUGAGUCUUUUCUAAGUGUUGAGUUCGGAAUGCCUCGUUCUUUAAACUCAUUUCAUCUGUUAUAUGACAUGCUUAAUCAUUUGAAGUUAAAUCCUCGAAGGGUUUUUUGUACACUUGUCCAUAUAAAUUCAUAUUGAAGUAUUGACAUAAAAUAAAAGUGCA